rnacentral:tRNA from 1 species
UUAAUUGAAACCAAAAUAGAGGUAAAUUAUUGUUAAUAAUUAAAAUGAUCAGAAUAAUCCAAUUAAA